AAACGGAUAGUAACGUUAAAACCUGCAACACGCAUCUUCUUCGAAACCUAAUUUUCUCUCUAAAAAAGCCUCCUUAAAAAAGCCGUCGUUUUUCCUUUUAGAUCUGAGACCGGUGGCCGGUGGCUUCUUCAGCACCGGGGCUGGUCUCCUCUUUGCUUUUUGUUUGCUCUCCGGCAUCUGUAACUUUCGGUGGUGAUGAUGGUCUAAACGAUGUCCGGGUUCGAGUUAGGUUUAUGUUGGGGUGGUGUGGUCGGAGAUCCGGCCUUCUUUUGACGUUUCAAUUGCUGGGUGUAACUGUUUUCUUUUACAGAGAUUCCUUUUAAAUUUGGUCUUUUGUGGUUUGGUGCUCUCCA